AAGUCGUAACAAGGUAACCGUAGGUGAACCUGCGGUUGGAUCAUUAAAAAUAACAAAUUUCCUGUGCAGUUUGUCGGGUUUGUCCCGUCAAACCGCUGCGGGGAGCUUCGGCUCACAUCUUGUGAACUGUACCGUCUUUGGUGGUGGGGUGGGCGUGGCGGUUUGCCAUGUCUCACCUGUCAGCUUGGAUCGCAAGGUUCAGGCCGUGGACAAGCCACCGCAUGUUUUCAAACAUUUUCUAAUUUUUGUCUGACAUUACAACUUGUAUCAAUAUACAAACAACUUUUGGCAACGGAUCUCUUGGUUCUC
rnacentral:misc_RNA from 1 species